AACUCUUACGAUCACCAAAUUUAAGCAACGUUGAGCCUGGUCAGUACCUAGGUAGGGGACCCCUUGGGAAUACCAGGUGCUGUAAG